rnacentral:tRNA from 1 species
GGCUCGUUGGUCUAGGGGUAUGACUCUUGCUUCAGGUGCGAAAGGUCCUGGGUUCAAAUCCCGGACGAGCCC